CGAGAAGACCCUAUGGAGCUUUAGACUUAAAAUAAAUUGCACCUCCAUGUCAUAACCCCGACAAAAUCCAGCAAUUACACAUUUGAAUGUCUUUGGUUGGGGCGACCCAGG
rnacentral:rRNA from 1 species